rnacentral:rRNA from 1 species
AACGCGAAGAACCUUACCCAGUCUUGACAUGCAGUGGACGAUACCAGAGAUGGUAUUUCCCUUCGGGGCCGCUGCACAGGUGCUGCAUGGCUGUCGUCAGCUCGUGCCGUGAGGUGUUGGGUUAAGUCCCGCAACGAGCGCAACCCUUAUCAUUAGUUGCCAACAUUUAAGGUGGGAACUCUAGUGAGACUGCCUGGGUUAACCAGGAGGAAGGUGAGGAUGACGUCAAGUCCGCAUGGCCCUUAUGACUGGGGCUACACACGUGCUACAAUGGUCGGUACAGAAGGCAGCGAAACCGCGAGGUGAAGCAAAUCCCAAAAAGCCGAUCUCAGUUCAGAUUGUAGUCUGCAACUCGACUACAUGAAGACGGAAUUGCUAGUAAUGGCGAGUCAGCUACAUCGCCGUGAAUACGUUCCCGGGCCUUGUACACACCGGACACGC